UACGGAGGAUGCGAGCGUUAUCCGGAUUUAUUGGGUUUAAAGGGUGCGUAGGCGGAUCGUUAAGUCAGUGGUCAAAUUGAGGGGCUCAACCCCUUCCCGCCAUUGAACCUGGCGAUCUUGAGUGGAAGAGAAGUAUGCGGAAUGCGUGGUGUAGCGGUGAAAUGCAUAGAUAUCACGCAGAACCCCGAUUGCGAAGGCAGCAUGCCGGCUUCCUACUGACGCUGAAGCACGAAAGCGUGGGGAUCGAACAGG
rnacentral:rRNA from 1 species